CUCAAUCUACAACAGAGCUAUUCCUGAUAAACUCAAUAGAAGUUGAAGACAUCACAAUGUGAAGGGAGCUGCAUCACCACCCAACUCUCAUACUGAAUACAUAGUUUUCACACCACAAUCAAACAAGGAAAAGCCUAAAUUGAACCAUCUUAAGCUGUGAUCGUCUAUAUUCCCACAGGGGAAAACAAGAAACAGACCGAUAAAUACAGCCAUAAGUUUGAAGAGAAUUUUACGUGUGGAAAUGAAACCAUUUUGAAAAAUAAGACCCUUCCUAUGCCACUGGUUAAAAAUGAACAUUCUGAAGCUUUUCACUAUAAUGCUGGAGCUGUAAAACAAGAGCUGUAACACUUCUGUGAUAGCCAUGCUGUAACCCUACAGGUAUUAACAGCGUUGCUGGAACUGGACAGCAAUCCACAUACAGGAUGCAAGAAUACUUCAACACCCAAAAUCAACACAAUAUACCUAACAAAAUGCAGAUAA